rnacentral:rRNA from 1 species
GGCAGCAGCUAAGAAUAUUCCGCAAUGGACGAAAGUCUGACGGAGCGACGCCGCGUGGAUGAUGAAGGCCGGAAGGUUGUAAAAUCCUUUUAUGACUGAGGAAUAAGUUCUCUGAGAGAAACGGAGGAUGGUGACUGUAGGUCAUGAAUAAGCAACGGCUAAUUACGUGCCAGCAGCCGCGGUAACACGUAAGUUGCGAGCGUUGUUCGGAAUUAUUGGGCGUAAAGGGCAUGUAGGCGGUUAUGCAAGUCUGGUGUGAAAUGCCGGGGCUUAACCCCGGAACUGCGUUGGAAACUGCAUAACUUGAGUCGCUGAGGGGCAGCCAGAAUUCCAGGUGUAGGGGUGAAAUCUGUAGAUAUCUGGAAGAAUACCAAUGGUGAAGGCAGGCUGCCAGCAGAUGACUGACGCUGAGGUGCGAAGGUGCGGGGAGCAAACAGGAUUAGAUACCCUGGUAGUCCGCACAGUCAACUAUGUACACUAGGUGUCCGCACAUGAGUGUGGGUGCCGAAGCAAACGCGAUAAGUGUACCGCCUGGGGAGUAUGCCCGCAAGGGUGAAACUCAAAGGAAUUGACGG